UGAGGAAUAUUGGUCAAUGGGCGAGAGCCUGAACCAGCCAAGUAGCGUGCAGGAUGACGGCCCUAUGGGUUGUAAACUGCUUUUAUAUGGGAAUAAAGUGAGGGACGUGUCCCUUAUUGCAUGUACCAUACGAAUAAGGACCGGCUAAUUCCGUGCCAGCAGCCGCGGUAAUACGGAAGGUCCAGGCGUUAUCCGGAUUUAUUGGGUUUAAAGGGAGCGUAGGCUGUUUGUUAAGCGUGUUGUGAAAUGUAAGAGCUUAACUUUUAGAUUGCAGCGCGAACUGGCAGACUUGAGUGCGCACAACGUAGGCGGAAUUCAUGGUGUAGCGGUGAAAUGCUUAGAUAUCAUGACGAACUCCGAUUGCGAAGGCAGCUUACGGGAGCGCAACUGACGCUAAAGCUCGAAGGUGCGGGUAUCGAACAGG
rnacentral:rRNA from 1 species